UACGUAGGGGGCAAGCGUUGUCCGGAUUUAUUGGGCGUAAAGAGCUCGUAGGUGGUUCGGUAAGUCAGGUGUGAAACCUCCAGGCUCAACCUGGAGACGCCACUUGAUACUGCUGUGACUGGAGUCCGGUAGGGGAGCGUGGAAUUCCUGGUGUAGCGGUGAAAUGCGCAGAUAUCAGGAGGAACACCAGCGGCGAAGGCGGCGCUCUGGGCCGGUACUGACACUGAGGAGCGAAAGCGUGGGGAGCGAACAGG
rnacentral:rRNA from 1 species